ACACACACAGACACAGACAGAGAGUGACGGGCCCUGUCCACACACACCUGAGUAUUUCAUUAAACAAAGAUUUUUGCCUUUCGGCCUUUUGCACACACAUAAACUGGGUUUAAUUUACAGAAAAAGUGACGCAGACAGCCAGGCUCACUUCCUGACCGGGUCUCUUUGAGCACACAUAGCCUCAUUGAAAGACACAACACUGGAAUGGCAGGAUGGAAUCGAGAGAUGAACAUGGCUGCUGACAACGCUUUAUUGAAAACAGCUUUAUCCUAGAAGAUUCUGUGAACAGCUGUCAUGUUUGAUUGACCCUGGUACCUUGAACAACAGGACAUGAAUAAAUAUUUUUUAUAUUUUCUCCAACAA